GACGAACGCUGGCGGCGUGCUUAACACAUGCAAGUCGAACGGAAAGGCCCUGCUUUUGUGGGGUGCUCGAGUGGCGAACGGGUGAGUAACACGUGAGUAACCUGCCCUUGACUUUGGGAUAACUUCAGGAAACUGGGGCUAAUACCGGAUAGGAGCUCCUGCUGCAUGGUGGGGGUUGGAAAGUUUCGGCGGUUGGGGAUGGACUCGCGGCUUAUCAGCUUGUUGGUGGGGUAGAGGCAUACCAAGGCUUUGACGGGUAGCCGGCCUGAGAGGGUGACCGGCCACAUUGGGACUGAGAUACGGCCCAGACUCCUACGGGAGGCAGCAGUGGGAAAUAUUGCACAAUGGGCGGAAGCCUGAUGCAGCAACGCCGCGUGCGGGAUGACGGCCUUCGGGUUGUAAACCGCUUUCGCCUGUGACGAAGCGUGAGUGACGGUAAUGGGUAAAGAAGCACCGGCUAACUACGUG
rnacentral:rRNA from 1 species